UACGAAGGGGGCUAGCGUUGCUCGGAAUCACUGGGCGUAAAGCGCACGUAGGCGGGUUCUUAAGUCAGGGGUGAAAUCCUGGAGCUCAACUCCAGAACUGCCUUUGAUAUUGGGAAUCUCGAGUCCGGGAGAGGUGAGUGGAACUGCGAGUGUAGAGGUGAAAUUCGUAGAUAUUCGCAAGAACACCAGUGGCGAAGGCGGCUCACUGGCCCGGUACUGACGCUGAGGUGCGAAAGCGUGGGGAGCAAACAGG
rnacentral:rRNA from 1 species